GAGGCCCCGCCCCUCGCGGCGCCUCCCUGGCGGCCGGCAGGGAGCUGGAGUCUGCGCGGGCGCUGAUUUGGGCACGGACUGUGGGGACAGGAAGCUGUGCUGAGCAGGCCAGAGGACUGGUGCUUGGAAAUGAGGGAGCCCUGGGGAGAUGCAUGCCAGGUGGACCUGCUGACCCGUCGAUGAGGCGGGCCCCCUGCCUGGGCCUGUGCCCCUGGCUGGGCAUGCGCCUGUCAGUACGCAAGGUGUUGCUGGCCGCUGGCUGCGCACUGGCCCUGGUGCUGGCUCUGCAGCUCGGGCAGCAAGUGUUGGAGUGCCGGGCGGUGCUCGGAGGCAAGCGGAACGCACGGAGGAUGCGGCCAGAGCAGGAGGAACUGGUGAUGCUUGGUGCCAACCAGGUGGAGUAUCGCUACGGCAAGGCCAUGCCGCUCAUCUUCGUGGGCGGCGUGCCUCGCAGCGGCACCACCCUCAUGCGGGCCAUGCUGGAUGCGCACCCUGAAGUGCGCUGUGGGGAGGAGACACGCAUCAUCCCGCGUGUGCUGGCUAUGCGGCAGGCCUGGUCAAAGUCUGGCCGGGAGAAGCUGCGGCUGGACGAGGCAGGCGUGACGGAUGAGGUGCUGGACGCUGCCAUGCAGGCCUUCAUCCUGGAGGUGAUCGCCAAGCAUGGCGAGCCAGCGCGAGUGCUGUGUAACAAGGACCCCUUCACACUCAAGUCCUCCGUCUACCUGGCACGCCUGUUCCCCAACUCCAAAUUCCUGCUAAUGGUGCGCGACGGCCGGGCCUCCGUGCACUCCAUGAUCACUCGCAAGGUCACCAUCGCAGGCUUUGACCUCAGUAGCUACCGAGACUGUCUUACUAAAUGGAACAAGGCCAUCGAGGUGAUGUAUGCACAGUGCAUGGAAGUGGGCAGGGACAAAUGCCUGCCUGUGUACUAUGAACAGUUGGUGCUGCACCCCCGACGCUCACUCAAGCGCAUCCUGGACUUCCUGGGCAUCGCCUGGAGUGACACAGUCCUGCACCAUGAGGACCUCAUUGGCAAGCCUGGGGGCGUCUCCUUGUCCAAGAUCGAGCGGUCCACAGACCAGGUCAUCAAACCCGUGAACUUGGAAGCACUCUCCAGGUGGACCGGCCACAUCCCUGGGGACGUGGUGAGGGACAUGGCACAGAUCGCCCCCAUGCUGGCUCGGCUUGGCUAUGACCCGUACGCAAACCCGCCCAACUAUGGGAACCCUGAUCCGAUUGUCAUCAACAACACACACCGGGUCUUGAAAGGAGACUAUAAAACGCCAGCCAAUCUGAAAGGAUAUUUUCAGGUGAACCAGAACAGCACCUCACCACACCUGGGAAGUUCGUGAUUUCCGGGUGAGCAUUCCUGCUGCCUCUCCGAGGCUGCCAGCCCUGGCUGAAGUGCCCAUCCUUUCAACCUUCUCUCAGAUGUGUCCACUAAGUCUCUGCAGGGCUCAGAUGUCUGAGUCGACAUCAUGUGUACACGGAAGUCGGACUAACCCAAGCACAUUGAUUGCUUCCUCAGUCGUGCCAUUGGUCCACAGAGGUGGAGUCUUCGUCUCCAUGGAAACGGACUUGGAACCUCUGCCUUUGGAUGCUUCAGGGUGGACAUGGAGGAGGAAACUACUUCAGCUUCAGAAACUUAGGAAUUUUCUAUUUUUUUCUCCUUGAGAACUUUUUUUUAAAGAAUUGAAUUUGCUAUCUUCCCUGAUGGACAAGCCCCUUUGGUGGCCUCAUUUCCUGGGACAAGACCAGUGACCAGUUUGUCUCCUUGACCCAGGCUCUGAACUCAAAGGAUUUAUUUAAGAGUUUAAUAUAUGGGCUUUCCUUCAUCCUGUAGUCCUACUCAGUUUCACAGAGAAAAGAAAUCAAUUAUUUGAAUAAAGUAAACAGGCUGCUGUCUGUGCCUUACUUCA